GACGAACGCUGGCGGCGUGCCUAAUACAUGCAAGUAGAACGCUGAAGGAGGAGCUUGCUUCUCUGGAUGAGUUGCGAACGGGUGAGUAACGCGUGGGUAACCUGCCUGGUAGCGGGGGAUAACUAUUGGAAACGAUAGCUAAUACCGCAUAAUAGUAGAUGUUGCAUGACAUUUGCUUAAAAGGUGCAAUUGCAUCACUACCAGAUGGACCUGCGUUGUAUUAGCUAGUUGGUGGGGUAACGGCUCACCAAGGCGACGAUACAUAGCCGACCUGAGAGGGUGAUCGGCCACACUGGGACUGAGACACGGCCCAGACUCCUACGGGAGGCAGCAGUAGGGAAUCUUCGGCAAUGGACGGAAGUCUGACCGAGCAACGCCGCGUGAGUGAAGAAGGUUUUCGGAUCGUAAAGCUCUGUUGUAAGAGAAGAACGAGUGUGAGAGUGGAAAGUUCACACUGUGACGGUAUCUUACCAGAAAGGGACGGCUAACUACGUG
rnacentral:rRNA from 1 species